AAACCGCUCAGGGGUAAACCUGCGAAACUCGAAUGAACGAACGGGGAGAUUCAUCGUUAUUCCACGGCGUGGCGUUACGCUUUCGAUAUUGUCGGUUUCGGUCGUUCGGUACGAAGCGUGUCGUUUCUAUGUUCGUGGACGGCGUGCACUUCUCCCUUAGUAAUACAUCGCGACCCGUUCGAUGUCGGUCUAAGCGCCGUUCGGGAGUCGAACUUGUCGCCUUCGGGUUGCAAGGGCGACCGGACCGGUUGUGCCGACCGGCUGUCGGACGGUAAAUUUAACGGAUCGCGUACGCGUUUUUUUGCGCGUCCGGCCCGACGCAAGGCUACGCCGUCUAUUCCCCGUUCUGCCCGAGUGCGGGCGGGGGUGCGGCGCGCCUGUCGUCGCAGCCGUGCUGUCUCGGACUGUGCGCGUCCC
rnacentral:rRNA from 1 species